rnacentral:tRNA from 1 species
GCUCAGUUGGUUAAGUGUCUGACUCUUGGUUUUGGCUCAGGUCAUGAUCUCAUGGUUUGUGGGUUCAAGCCCUGCAUUGAGCU